AAACCAUGGUACGGACACUUGUGCAACAUCAAUUUGAAAUGCUCCCAAGCCUCGUAUAAUGACUCCCCUUCUAAUUGUAAAAAAUUUGUAAUGUCCAUCUGAAGUUU
rfam:Gossypium raimondii chromosome 9, whole genome shotgun sequence.